rnacentral:rRNA from 1 species
UUGUCCGGAUUUACUGGGUGUAAAGGGUGCGUAGGCGGCUUUGCAAGUCAGAUGUGAAAUCUAUGGGCUCAACCCAUAGCCUGCAUUUGAAACUGCAGAGCUUGAGUGAAGUAGAGGCAGGCGGAAUUCCCCGUGUAGCGGUGAAAUGCGUAGAGAUGGGGAGGAACACCAGUGGCGAAGGCGGCCUGCUGGGCUUUAACUGACGCUGAGGCACGAAAGCGUGGGUAGCAAACAGGAUGAGAUACCCGGGUAGUCCACGCUGU